rnacentral:tRNA from 2 species
GUCCCGUUCGUCUAGAGGCCUAGGACACCGCCCUUUCACGGCGGCAACACGGGUUCGAAUCCCGUACGGGAUA